CAGCAGCCGCGGUAAUACCAGCACCUCGAGUGGUCAGGACGUUUAUUGGGCCUAAAGCAUCCGUAGCCGGCUCUGCAAGUCUUCGGUCAAAUCCACCUGCUCAACAGAUGGGCUGCUGGAGAUACUACAGAGCUAGGGAGUGGGAGAGGCAGACGGUAUUCAGUGGGUAGGGGUAAAAUCCUCUGAUCCAUUGAGGACCACCAGUGGCGAAGGCGGUCUGCCAGAACACGUUCGACGGUGAGGGAUGAAAGCUGGGGGAGCAAACCGGAUUAGAUACCCGGGUAGUCCCAGCUGUAAACGAUGCAAACUCGGUGAUGCAUUGGCUUAUGGCCAAUGCAGUGCCGCAGGGAAGCCGUUAAGUUUGCCGCCUGGGAAGUACGGACGCAAGUCUGAAACUUAAAGGAAUUGGCGGG
rnacentral:rRNA from 1 species